UACGAAGGGGGCUAGCGUUGCUCGGAAUCACUGGGCGUAAAGCGCACGUAGGCGGAUUGUUAAGUCAGGGGUGAAAUCCUGGAGCUCAACUCCAGAACUGCCUUUGAUACUGGCGAUCUCGAGUCCGGGAGAGGUGAGUGGAACUGCGAGUGUAGAGGUGAAAUUCGUAGAUAUUCGCAAGAACACCAGUGGCGAAGGCGGCUCACUGGCCCGGUACUGACGCUGAGGUGCGAAAGCGUGGGGAUCAAACAGGG
rnacentral:rRNA from 1 species